rnacentral:rRNA from 1 species
GGGGAGUCGCGCAAGCGAUGAAGGGACCGGGCCCAGGCUGCCAAGAAAAGCCUCGCUGGAAGUGGAACAUCGGACCGUACCGCAAACCGACACUGGUAGACGGGAGGAAGACUCCAAGGCGCAUGAGAGAACUCUCGCUAAGGAACUAGGCAAACUCGCCCCGUAACUUCGGGAGAAGGGGUGCCGACGGUGUGCAAGCAUCUGUCGGUCUCAGUAAAGAGGGUCAAGCGACUGUUUACCAAAAACACAGGACUCUGCAAAGUCGAAAGACGAAGUAUAGGGUCUGACGCCUGCCCGGUGCUGGAAGGUUAACGGGAGGGGUUCGCGUGCAAACGCAAAGCUCUGAACCGAAGCCCCAGUAAACGGCGGCCGUAACUAUAACGGUCCUAAGGUAGCGAAAUUCCUUGUCGGGUAAGUUCCGACCCGCACGAAUGGCGUAACGACUUGACCGCUGUCUCAGCGAGAGACUCAGCGAAAUUGACGUGCUGGUGAAGAUACCAGCUGCCCGCAACUAGACGGAAAGACCCUGUGCACCUUUACUAUAGCUUGGCAGUGGUUGCUAGGAUCAUUUGUGUAGGAUAGGUGGGAGGCGUUGAAGCGGGUGCGCUAGCAUCCGUGGAGCCAACGGUGAAAUACCACCCUAAUGAUUCUGGCAUCCUCACCGAAUCCCGUAAUCCGGGAUCGGGACCCUGUCUGGUGGGUAGUUUGACUGGGGCGGUCGCCUCCUAAAAAGUAACGGAGGCGCCCAAAGGUUCCCUCAGGCUGGCCGGAAACCAGCCGAUGAGUGCAAAGGCAUAAGGGAGCUUCACUGAGAGACUGACGGGUCGAUCAGAUGGGAAACCAGGGCUUAGU